GAUGAACGCUGGCGGCGUGCCUAAUACAUGCAAGUCGAGCGAACGGACGAGAAGCUUGCUUCUCUGAUGUUAGCGGCGGACGGGUGAGGAACACGUGGAUAACCUACCUAUAAGACUGGGAUAACAUCGGGAAACCGGAGCUAAUACCGGAUAAUAUUUUGAACUGCAUGGUUCAAGAGUGAAAGACGGUCUUGCUGUCACGUAUAGAUGGAUCCGCGCUGCCUUAGCUAGUUGGUAAGGUAACGGCUUACCAAGGCAACGAUGCAUAGCCGUCCUGAGAGCGUGAUCGGCCACACUGUCUGUGAGACACGGCCCACACUCCUACGGGGGGCCGCAGUAGGGACUCCUACGCGAUGGGCGAAAGCCUGACGGAGCAACGCCGCGUGAGUGAUGAAGGUCUUCGGAUCGUAAAACUCUGUUAUUAGGGAAGAACAUAUGUGUAAGUACCUGUGCACAUCUUGACGGUACCUAAUCAGAAAGCCCCGGCUAACUACGUG
rnacentral:rRNA from 1 species